AAGUUGUUUACUCAACAGCAGAGAUGGGGCUUUGUUUUGCGGCUCUCUGAUGCAUCAUGUUCAAGCCUGACAGGAGCUGGGUGGCCGGUCUCGGCUCCCCACUCAGCCCCAAGCCCCACCCAUGCCUAUCCCAUCUCGUAAGUAGAGCCAGGGAAAACGGGAAGCUGAGGUGGGACAUCGGGUAUUGCGGGUGUCAUUCAGUGGGUGAGAUCCAGACCCGCUGGCACAAUGGCCUAAAGGCUUGUGCUUGUUUUUCUGCUCCUGUGGCUUCCGCUGCUCCCCAACACCUCAGGAGGGGGAGGAGCCGAGCUUCCGGCUCCCUCCUGCUCUGAUACCCCACGAUUACCACCCCCCCAGCCCCUGUCAGCGAGCUUUGGGGGAGGAGCUGAGUAUUGGCGACUCCCCCAGUCCCAGCCUGAGAGAUCAAGAAAGGAAGAAAGUCAGCAGGUGACUGCCAGUUCCUGCUAUCACCAGCUGGCAGGAUGUAGACUUCUGACGGUUGUUAGCUGCCAUCACCUGUAUCCUGCCUCACAUAGCACCCACAAACGGUUUCUACACUUCUGGUUCUUUCUGGGGUGGUGGACUGGGAGGACUAGAGCUCCUGGGUCCUUCACCUGAAUGCUCCUGCCUAAAGUGUGUUUGUGUAGAGGGCAACAGACAUCUGGGUCUCUCUGGAUGAGGGGUUAGCAGACCCAAAGAAAGAGGAACUGGGCAGGCCCACAGGUCAAGUGGCUGGCCUAAGGUCCCCAGAGAGUUGAUGGCAAAGCUAGCUCUGCUGGGCCUGGAGCCCAGUCUCUGCCCCACAGUGUGCUGCUCUUGCCACUGCCUUUCAAUGGACUCAAUCCUUUAUUCCCAUGUUUAGUCAUUGGACAUACAUUUAUUGAGCACCUACUAUGUACCAAGCACAAGUCUAAAUGGGAACCACAGACAAUUCAGGACACCACAAUGAGCUCUCUGAUGUGGGGAGCACUGGGCACUGGGGGAACCUGGAAGAGGAGUCACUCCCUAACCUGGGGAGCUCAGGGGAGGCUUCCUGGGGGAGGGGAGGCUUGAGCAGAAUCUAGAAGGUUGGUUAAGGAGUUAACCUGGCCAGAGAAGUGGGGGAAGUGUUCAAGGCAGGGGAAGCGGGGGACAUGCAUGACCUGUUCUUGGCAGUUCACUCGCAAAGUGUGCUCUCAAGGUGGUGGUCAGAGAGGGGUCAGCAGGAGCACGUCACAGUGGGCCCUGAGUCACAUUAAGGAGCUUGGGCUUUGUCCUGAAGUUGGUGUGCAGAAACGGAAGGAUUGUAAGCAGCAUUGGCAAGAUGGCCUUGGCUGUGCUUUGGAGCAUAGACUGGAGGACCUAGCCUGGAAACAGUUGCAGGACCCCAGGUGAGAAAUGAGGAGGGUUUGCGUGAGGCCACAGCAGUAGAACGAGAAAGCAGGCAAUGGGUGCCAGUGACAGCUAGCAGCAUCGAGAGCUCUUGGAGAGUGGUUGGAGGUGGCCAGUGAGCGAGAGGGAGGUGUCUGGGGAGACUGUGGGUGGUAGUCUUCUCAGACAUGGAGGAAGCAGGUAAAAAAACCAGGUUAGAAAUAGAAACAACAUCUAGCUUUGGACAAGGUGGGUUUAAGGUGCCUUUGGGGGACAGCCAAGAGGAGAAGAGCAGAAGACAGCUGGGUGCUUGUUCUGGCACUCCAUGGAGAGCUCCCUCUAGGGUGGAGCCUGAUAUUUUGAAUCAAGGGCAGGGAUUAUUAACUUCAGUUUACAGAAAAAGCUCAGUGAGAUUAAGCAACAUGUCCAUAGUUACACAGCCGUGAAGCAAGGCUUGUACUCAGAUCUUUGGAUUUCAAGUUCUGUGGUGUCUGUGACCCCCAAGAUGCUAAUUCCCCUACCCCAGGAUGCCCCAGCUUUUGCAAGGGGAGGGGCAUUGGGGAGGGGGAAGCCGGUGUCUGAAUAUUUUUCUGUCUCCUCUCCAUGUGCCUUCUGCCUGAAAUUGCAUUUGCCCAGAACUUGCAGGCAGGGGCAUUUCUAGGUGGCUUGGGGGAGAGAGAUAUUUUUAUUUCUUGGUAACCACAAGCCCUCCACCAAUGCGCACUCAGCACACUGGUGGUUGUCAACGUGUGAGAAUUUCAACAAUCCUGAAGUCGGCUGGGACUAGGCUGAGAGAGGCUGGUGCUACUACCACGGCCGCCUCAGGGACUCAAGAACUGAGGCGCCGGGGACCCCUCCGGCCUGGUACCCUCCUCUCAUUCCCUGACUAGCUGCUUCUGUCUUUGUAUAGGUUCUGCCCCAGAGUGAGGAGGUCAGAGAGGCCUCAGUCCCAGGAGUGGCUGAAACUUUCCACCUUUCGAAAAUCAAGUGAACUGAGCUGGGGCCACAAUAGCCUGGGAGCAAGGGGGUGUUCCAGUCCCGUACCUAGAGAAAAUUCAUGUCUUAGCCCCAGUAAUCACAUCCUCAGGGAAGUGUGCCUUGUCUCCCUUUUAAAUCAGGCCUUCCCACCUACUGUGUCUCAGGGUUGCUUUUUUUUGUUUGUUUUUUUUGUUUUUGGUGUGUAUUUGUCUCCUCCUCUAGACAGUAAGCUCCAUAAGACCCGGACUGGGUCUGUUUCGUCUCCUUGGCAUGUUUCCUAACUCCUGACUCAUAUUUGUCAAAUGAAUGAAUAAAUGAAUGAAUGCCCUUUAAGAUCCCAGCUCUAGGCCUCACAGCAGAGACGGCUCUUGUCUGUUUACUGACUGUGCUCAAAAGCUGGCAGAAUGUCACUUUCAAUUCUGCAUUUGGGGGAGGGAGGGCAGGGUGCACUAAGAGGUUCCUUUGCCUCCAGGAAACAGAUGGUAAAAAUGCUUAAAACAUUGCCGUUUCCCCCAGCACCCUCUGCGCCCCCACCCUACCCCACCCAGCCACAGCCCCAGCUCCUUCUCCCCUAGGGCUGAAAUGGAAUCACCCAGACGGGCUCUGAUAGUCAAUUCUCCUAACUCUGGAUACCAAGCUAGGUGGGAUGGAAAUUCUGUAUUCAGUGAACACAGAAUUUCCCUCUUCUCUCCACAAACUUCCCAGCCUUCCUCAAUCCUCUUCAACUGGUGUUCAUACUCCUUUUUUUUUUUUUUUUUAAUACUCCAAACACCAUUUCUCAGGCUGUAGCUUAACUCACUGUACUUCAGUCCCGUAGUAACAUGUUCCUCCCGUGUGCCGGGCACUGGACCAGGCGGGGCGUGGAGGGAGUACACAGGUGAACAAGACAGGAACCCCCACCUCUAGGACUCACAGUUGAUUGAAAGAAACAGACAUGGCAGUCUACAACCUCAGUGUUGAGAGAAACCCAUUUGGCUGGAGAACCAGGCCAGAGCUUGGGAAGUAGGUGGCUAAAGGGUCUCAGGAAUCCUCCUUUCUGAGAAGGUGAAAGGUAUUCAGGCAGAGGAAAUGCAGAAGCAAAAGCACAGUUGGAAAGAGCUGGGCAUGUGUGGGCAAGGACCAGUGGGUGUGGAACAUGGAAGAGAGCCUGCAAAGGCUGGUGGGGCUGCUGCUGGAGGCUCUUGACUGUAAGGUAAGGAGACUGAUCUCAAUCCAGUGGGCAAUAGGGAACCAUUGAAGGUUUAUGAGCUGUGGAGUAACAGACUCUGAGCUGUGCUUUAGGAAGGUUAACAGGGCUGUGAGGGGGAUUCCCUGGGUAAGGGGGAGGCAGAGGCAGGGAGACCAGUGAAAGAGUUGUUCCCUUGGAGAGGGGAGCACUAAUGGGCUGUGGGAGGGCAGUGGCAGUGGGGUAGAAAGAGCUGGUUCUCCCGUGUGAUGAGUGGCCUCUCCUUCUAACCACCCCCUCAGCCUGAAGAUGGUUUGCCUUCCCCACUUCUCUUUUUGUUUUCUGGUUUUUCCCAGUUUAAGCAAAGAAGGAAAUUCACAAACAACAAGAGGCUCCCCCUUCCUCUCCCUCCUCCAGUUUGGCUCUCUCUUGGCCCAGGUUCUCCUCUGCUGGGUCCUAGUAUCUGGGACCCCACUGUAGGGUCUCUGACUGAGAGUCUCUCCUCUUGCUCCAUCCCCGUCUUCAGAUGUCCACCCUCCGGGGUCAAGGAGCUGUGCACAAGCAGUCGGUUUGUCAGUGAAUCGUAGAAGCAGCCCUGAUUUGUUCCUAGAAGAUGCCUAUCACCAAGGGACCCGCACAAGGAGGGGAGACCCUGCCCUUCCCCAAGAGAGCUCCCUUUGAGUGGGCCUUCAGGACCCACUAGUGAAAUAACUAAUGAUCUCUUGAGGGUUGGCAUAUUCUCCCAGCUCAGAGAGGAUCGGUGAGCCCUGUCUGCCCCACACAGCUGGUAGAUGCGGAAGGCGGGUGGCCUAGGGUUUUUCUUCAGUCUAGUGCCCCCAGACACGGCUGGGGGCUUGGAGAAGGGAGAGCUGGGAUCCCGUUGUGGGCUCUGUGCUGAGUCUCUUUGAUUUGCACUAGGGAAGCAGUCGACCAGAGAAUUCUGGGGUUUACUCAGGGGGAGGGGGAGGAUGUGGAGUCUGGACUCCAGUUUCCUUGAUCUCCAGGGCUCUGGACAGGUAGUUGGUUAUCACGGUGACAUCCAUAGUGCCCGGGAGGGGCCAGCGUCCCAGGGGAUUCCCAGGCCCAGCAGGUGAUUCGUGGGGCUUCCGUGACCUCAUUGACAAUUGCCCGGCCCUCCCCGGAGGGCGGGGCUCCAAGCACCCGGGUUGGACCCGGACCCCAAAAGACCGCCAAGUCCUGCCUUUGCCUGGCCCGGGAUGAGCCAUGGGACAACUGAUCGCCAAGUUGAUGGGCAUCUUUGGGAAACAGGAGCACAAGGUUAUCAUCGUGGGACUGGACAACGCAGGAAAGACCACCAUUCUCUACCAGUUCCUGAUGAAUGAGGUGGUUCAUACGUGUCCCACCAUCGGCAGCAAUGUGGAGGAGAUUGUUCUGCAAAAUACCCACUUCCUCAUGUGGGACAUAGGGGGACAGGAGGCUCUGCGCUCCACCUGGAACAUGUACUACUCCAACACUGAGUUCAUCAUCCUUGUGAUUGACAGCACGGACCGGGAUCGCCUGCUGACCACUCGGGAGGAGCUGUAUAAGAUGCUGGCCCAUGAGGCUCUGCGAGACGCUUCCGUCCUGAUCUUUGCCAACAAGCAAGACAUGAAGGACUCCAUGAGUACCGUGGAGAUCUCCCGAUUCCUCACCCUUAGUGCCAUCAAAGACCACCCGUGGCACAUACAGGGCUGCUGUGCCCUCACUGGGGAAGGGUUAGUGACUGCCCCACCUGCACCUCCAGAACCUGGCCCCACCAAUGGAUGACCAACCAUCAGAACCUUCUGCUGUCUCUCUCCUGUCAGAAUCUGGCUCACAGUUAGCUCCCGGGCCAAGCCAGUGGAGCACCUACUCACAGUUAAGAGGCUGUGGGUAAGCGGCUGCCCGCCGGGCUCCAGUGGAUGCAGUCUCGGACCACUGCCAACUGAUGUCCCAGCCUGAGGCAAACCAGAAACUUUGGGGGUUUUGCAAUAAGUACGUGGGUGGAAAACCCAAGGGACUAUUUAUUACUUUUCUAUGAUUCUCUGGUGGGACCAGGGGCAGCUGCGGACAGCGAGACUGCUGCCGUCUACACAACCCCCACCGAGGAGCCAGACUGUGCACCCUGAACUGCUGCAGGCAGGACGGCAGAGAGAGCCGCCCCUCGCUCCAGGGGAGCAGACGUCCUUGCAGACACCAGGGAAGCUGUUGGAUGUGUUUGGAGACUAGGAAGUAGAGUCUCCCCGUGCCCCGCGCAGCCCUCCUCUCUGUAGGAAAAAUGGAGGCAGGGGGUGGGCAGGGAGCUGGAACUACUUUUAAUUUCCUAGAACCCCAUCCCAGCUUUCCGGCCCUCAGCCAUCUUUGGGCAAAGGAGAUUCCAGAGAGGUGAAGGGGGUGGGCUCAAGGGAAGGAGGGCAGAGCCAAAAGCUGGGAGGGGAGAGGGAGGAGGACAGGACGUCCCAGGCAGGGACAGUCCUUCGUACUGCAGGGCCGUCCGCUCCUCCCUGGCCUUCCCAUUCCCUCUGAGAUGCUGGCUCUGACCACAGCUUUUGAGCUUUAAGCCACUCCAUCCUUUGCGCUUCACUCCCAACGUCCUUCCAAUGUGAAUCCCACUCCCAAAUGUCCCAGAUUCCUAGUGUCUGCUUAUCUUGUCUGUCUUUUUGUAAUGACUUUUUUUUCACAUUGUAUUAGGAUUUUUAGAAUGAUUGAAGACAUGCCAUUGAAAACUGAUCAUCUCUUA